AACGAACGCUGGCGGCGCGCCUAAUACAUGCAAGUCGAGCGAGAAGACGUAGCAAUACGUUUGUAAAGCGGCGAACGGGUGAGGAAUACAUGGGUAACCUACCCUCGAGUGGGGAAUAACUAGCCGAAAGGUUAGCUAAUACCGCGUACGCUCCUUGGACUUCGGUUCAGGGAGGAAAGCGAUACCGUGGGUAUCGCGCUCAUGGAUGGGCUCAUGUCCUAUCAGCUUGUUGGUGAGGUAACGGCUCACCAAGGCUUCGACGGGUAGCUGGUCUGAGAGGACGAUCAGCCACACUGGCACUGCGACACGGGCCAGACUCCUACGGGAGGCAGCAGUAAGGAAUAUUGCGCAAUGGGCGAAAGCCUGACGCAGCGACGCCGCGUGAGGGAUGACGGCCU
rnacentral:rRNA from 1 species